AGCCUGUGUCGCUCACCUUGGUCUAUGUGAAUAUUAAACAAAGGAAGCAGAUGGAUUCAUGACAAAAUUGUGUUUUGGUGAUGGUGAUGUGUUUGUACGUCUUACUUUACUGAACAUUCUUGCUGCUUACAGUUAUCUCUAUCUAUAAUGAACUUUGCCCAGUAGUUUCAGUGGAAAAUGUUAGUAAAAAUUUACAAAUUUUUUAAAAAUUGUUAAAACUUGACUAUAAAGGACAAUAACUCCUUAGGGGUCAAUUGACCAUUUCAGUCAUGUUGACUUAUU
rnacentral:lncRNA from 1 species